rnacentral:piRNA from 1 species
UAAACCAGUCUUUUAUAGACACUACACACCUC